rnacentral:rRNA from 1 species
AUUGAACGCUGGCGGCAGGCCUAACACAUGCAAGUCGAACGAGUGGCGGACGGGUGAGUAAUGUCUGGGAAACUGCCUGAUGGAGGGGGAUAACUACUGGAAACGGUAGCUAAUACCGCAUACCAUCGGAUGUGCCCAGAUGGGAUUAGCUAGUGGGGGGGGUAACGGCUCACCUAGGAGACGAUCCCUAGCUGGUCUGAGAGGAUGACCAGCAACACUGGGACUGAGACACGGUCCAGACUCCUACGGGAGGCAGCAGUGGGGAAUAUGGGGCAAUGGGCGCAAGGCUGAUACAGCCAUGCCGCGUGUAUGAAGAAGGCCUUCGGGUUGUAAAGUACUUUCAGCGGGGAAGCGUUACCCGCAGAAGAAGCACCGGCUAACUCCGUGCCAGCAGCCGCGGUAAUUC